rnacentral:rRNA from 1 species
AUUGAACGCUGGCGGCAGGACUAACACAUGCAAGUAGAGCGGAGCGGCGGACGGGUGAGUAAUGCCUAGGAAUCUGCCUGGUAGUGGGGGAGAACGUCCGGAAACGGGCGCUAAUACCGACUACUAUCCGAUGAGCCUAGGUCGAAUUAGCUAGUUGGUGGGGUAAAGGCCUACCACGGCGACGAUCAGUAACUGGUCUGAGAGGAUGAUCAGUCCCACUGGAACUGAGACACGGUCCAGACUCCUACGGUAGGCAGCAGUGGGGAAUAUUGGACAAUUGGCGAAAGCCUGAUCCAGCCAUGCCGCGUGUGUGAAGAAGGUCGUCGGAUUGUAAAGCACUUUAAGUUGGGAGGCGUUACCAACAGAAUAAGCACCGGCUAACUCCGUGCCAGCAGCCGCGGUAAUUC